rnacentral:rRNA from 1 species
GAUGAACGCUGGCGGCGUGCCUAAUACAUGCAAGUCGAGCGAACGGACGAGAAGUUUGCUUUUCUGAUGUUUGCGGCGGACGGGUGUGUAACACGUGGAUAACCUCCCUAUCAGACUGGGAUAACUUCGGGAAUCCGGCGCUAAUCCCGGAUGAUAUUUUGAACCGCAUGGUUCAAAAGUGAAAGACGGUCUUGCUGUCACUUAUAGAUGGCUCUGCGCUACAUUAGCUAGUUGGUAAGGUAACGGCUUACCAAGGCAACGAUGCAUAGACGACCGAGGAGAGUGAUAGGCCACACUGGAACGGGAACACGGUCCAGACUCCUACGAGACGCAGCAGAAGGGAAUCUGCCGCAAUGGUCGAAAACCUUACGGAGCGGCGCCGCGUGAGAGACAAAGGUGUUCGGUUCGUAAAAAUGUGUUAUGAGGGAAAAACAUAUGUGGAAGGAGCUGAACACAUCGUGACGGUACCUAAUCAGAAAGCCACGGCUAACUACGUG